GUGGGGAAUCUUGCGCAAUGGGCGAAAGCCUGACGCAGCCAUGCCGCGUGGAUGAUGAAGGUCUUAGGAUUGUAAAAUCCUUUCACCGGUGAAGAUAAUGACUGUAGCCGGAGAAGAAGCCCCGGCUAACUUCGUGCCAGCAGCCGCGGUAAUACGAAGGGGGCUAGCGUUGCUCGGAAUUACUGGGCGUAAAGGGAGCGUAGGCGGACAUUUAAGUCAGGGGUGAAAUCCCGAGGCUCAACCUCGGAACUGCCUUUGAUACUGGGUGUCUUGAUUGUGAGAGGGGUGAGUGUAACUCCGAGUGUAGAGGUGAAAUUCGUAGAUAUUCGGAAGAACACCAGUGGCGAAGGCGACUCACUGGCUCAAUACUGACGCUGAGGCUCGAAAUCGUGGUGAGCAAACAGGAUUAGAAACCCGUGUAGUCC
rnacentral:rRNA from 1 species